rnacentral:misc_RNA from 1 species
GAUGAAGAACGCAGCGAAAUGCGAUAAGUAAUGUGAAUUGCAGAAUUCAGUGAAUCAUCGAGUCUUUGAACGCACAUUGCGCCCCCUGGUAUUCCGGGGGGCAUGCCUGUCCGAGCGUCAUUGCUGCCCUCAAGCACGGCUUGUGUGUUGGGCCCCCGCCCCCCGGUCCCGGGGGGCGGGCCCGAAAGGCAGCGGCGGCACCGCGUCCGGUCCUCGAGCGUAUGGGGCUUUGUCACCCGCUCUGUAGGCCCGGCCGGCGCCCGCCGGCGACCCCAAUCAAUCUUUUUCAGGUUGACCUCGGAUCAGGUAGGGAUAGCCGCUGAACUUAAGCAUAUCAAUAAGCGGAGGA